rnacentral:rRNA from 1 species
UACAGAGGUCUCAAGCGUUGUUCGGAUUCAUUGGGCGUAAAGGGUGUGUAGGUGGCGCGCUAAGUCGGGUGUGAAAUUUCGGAGCUUAACUCCGAAACUGCAUUCGAUACUGGCGUGCUUGAGGACUGGAGAGGAGACUGGAAUUCAUGGUGUAGCAGUGAAAUGCGUAGAGAUCAUGAGGAAGACCAGUGGCGAAGGCGGGGUCUCUGGACAGUUCCUGACACUGAGACACGAAGGCCAGGGGAGCGAACAGG